rnacentral:rRNA from 1 species
GAUGAACGCUGGCGGCGUGCCUAAUACAUGCAAGUCGAGCGAAUGGAUUAAGAGCUUGCUCUUAUGAAGUUAGCGGCGGACGGGUGAGUAACACGUGGGUAACCUGCACAUAAGACUGGGAUAACUCCGGGAAACCGGGGCUAAUACCGGAUAACAUUCUGAACCGCAUGGUUCGAAAUUGAAAGGCGGCUUCGGCUGGCACUUAUGGAUGGACCCGCGUCACAUUAGCUAGUUGGUGAGGUAACGGCACACCAAGGCAACGAUGCGUAGCCGACCUGAGAGGGUGAUCGGCCACACUGGGACUGAGACACGGCCCAGACUCCUACGGGAGGCAGCAGUAGGGAAUCUUCCGCAAUGGACGAAAGUCUGACGGAGCAACGCCGCGUGAGUGAUGAAGGCUUUCGGGUCGUAAAACUCUGUUGUUAGGGAAGAACAAGUGCUAGUUGAAUAAGCUGACACCUUGACGGUACCUAACCAGAAAGCCACGGCUAACUACGUGCCAGCCGCCGCAGUAA